ensembl:misc_RNA
GCAAGGGGUGCAGCAGUUGAGUGCAUGGGCCCACAGGUUGGGUGGGCUCAAGCUGCUGGGACAAGGAGGAACAGCAAAAAGCCACCAACAAGGAUGCAUGCCCCCACCCCAGCCACCCACCUUCUGGAGACCCCUAAGUGGAUUUUCACACAGAAAGGAUGUUGGCAUCCCCAGUGAUCCAUGAGACAUGGCUGGGUCCACCCUUCA